rnacentral:lncRNA from 1 species
GGCAAACUUUUGAACAGUUAUCUCCCUUUCCCUACAUCCAUCCCUCAGAGCCAUCAUUGUUGUCAGCUUCCAUGGAGUUGGCAAUAUGAAACCAGAAAGAUACAAAACGAAAACAAGGGGAACAGGAAUUCACUGACACUGCACUUGUCAGUGCUAUUCAUUUGACCUCAUAUACAUAGAGUUUUCUUUAAAUUAUGUGCAUAUUUCACAAUGAAAGUAGAAAUACUUUUAUUGUGAUUUCAGAAAUGUUCAGUUUGCUUUUUUGAGGAUUUUCCAGUCAAAUGCCUUGCUUUUUAGCACAACGUUACUCUCCUGCUUUCCAAUCUGUUGCUUGGUUGUUGAUGCAUAAAGAGCACAUUGUACACUCGAACAACUCAACCAUAUUGCAAGAUAUUAAAAACAAAGAUUUGGAAUAUGUAAUACUUUACAUUUUGUUUAGAUUAUCAAAGGCCAGUUUCUGAUAUUUUCCAAAAAGUAAAACAGUUAAAAUGUAUUACUGGCAUCAGUCUGCACUAAAACUUAAACAGCUAGUUUUUUCUUCUAAACUUCAAAAUGUGUAAAUACCUUUUCUCAGAUAUUCCAUGAAGCUCAUGUAAAUUCUAUACCAAAUAUAAAAAACGUUUUGUGUCCUUAGAACUCUAUUAUUAUAUAAUGUAUUAUUCUGUAAUUGUUUGCUUUAUGUUACACUAUAAUAUCAUCAUAAAAUAUCUGAUUUUUAAAAAAAUUCUAAAGGAACAUGUGUCCUUUUAUAAGAGGAUGUUUAUGAUAACUAUUGUCUUAUUUUAUAUAAAUUUAGUUAAAGUUAAUGGUUUUGCUCUUCAUUGAUUUAACAAUGCAAUCAAUAUUCAUUGUUAAAGGGAACUUUAAAUCUGCAUUGUUCUAUUUUGACAAAUUUUGUAUUUCUAUUUGAAGAUGCUAUUAUUAUGAGUCCUUUUGUCUCUAUUCCCUUUUUAGGCAGUAUAUAUUGCACCCCUCAAAGCUCUAGUACGUGAAAGAAUGGAUGAUUGGAAAAUUAGGAUAGAAGAAAAACUUGGUAAAAAGUAAGUUUUUAUUUUGAUUAAAAUAGGCUUUGAAGCAUGUAAAGGACUAACAAACGUAAAAGCUACAUAAAUCUGUCUGAUAGCCUCAGUGAUUUUCAUAUUUUACUUAAAAGUUUAGUACUAGACUUACCAUCAGUAUUCCAUAUUAAGUCUGAAAAUGUAAUCAUUUAAUUACUUAAUAUGAUACUUUGAUAUAGCAUGCUAUCUUUUCCAAAAUACCUUUAUUCCAAAAAUAAAUUAUCUAUUUUUCUUUGGUGUGAUUGAGAAUAACAUCCAGAAACUACUUCCAAAGCCUUUUGCAUGUAAUUUUUACUCAUGAAAAAAAGUAGAUCUUUGAAAAACACUAUGUUAAUAUUUAAUUGUUUUACAAGACCGUUUAUUGCAGCAUUGUUUAUCAGCAACACUGCUAACAACUUGAGUGGCCCAUAGGGCACUUCCAAGUAAAUCAUGGUAUACAUGCAAAAUGCAACAUUUUUUUUAUCUUCUCCACAAAGGAGACCAUGAGGUACUAAAUGAACCAAGAACUCUGGAAAUUGAGAAAUGAAAAAGAAUUACAUAUGUGCUUGCUUCAAAAUAAGAAACAAUGGCUGUAGAACUGUUCACUGUAAAUUGCUUGAGCUAUGGAUAUAUGGUGUAUUCAGCAUAAUAUUUAAAGUGUAAAACUCAAGACAUUAAAGAACUAAAUAGAUGUGGUCAGUAUUGGAGGAAGAAACCUUUCCCUUUUAUUCUUUUUUUCUGAGUCUGAACUUAGAUAUACAGAUUGUUCAAUAAUUACUGAAAAUUUAGAAAUACCUUCAAAUUUAUCUACUUGUUUCACCCAUACCUCUUAUACACUUGCAUGGGUAACCAUUUUUUUAAUGUGAAGCUCUCCCCAACCCACGCUGAGAAAGGUGGCAUUUAGUUGCCCUUUCUUAUCUUGUUCAUAUCCCAGUGAAUUUGAGUUUUUCUUUGUUAUUUAUAGAAAUUUUCAGCCUAAGAAAUUAAACAUGCAAACAAUGCUAUUUUUAAUCAAUACUCUAUUAAAAUAAAACCCUAAGUAAACAGAUUUUUUUUAAAAAGUGCCAUGUGUGGUGGCACAUGACUCUAUUCUUUGGAAGGAAGGAUAGUAGUGCAGGUUCAUCGUUAGCUGUAUACUAAGUUCAAAGGUAGCAUGGGCUACAUGAGGAGGAGUGGGAUGAGGAGGCGUUGGAGGGCAGACCGGGAAGAGGAUAACAACUGGACUUUAGAUUAAAGAUAAUU